AGCGAACGCUGGCGGCAGGCCUAACACAUGCAAGUCGAACGAAGUCUUCGGACUUAGUGGCGGACGGGUGAGUAACACGUGGGAACGCGCCUUUAGGUUCGGAAUAACUCAGGGAAACUUGUGCUAAUACCGAAUGUGCCCUUCGGGGGAAAGAUUUAUCGCCUUUAGAGCGGCCCGCGUCUGAUUAGCUAGUUGGUGAGGUAAAGGAUCACCAAGGCGACGAUCAGUAGCUGGUCUGAGAGGAUGAUCAGCCACAUUGGGACUGAGACACGGCCCAAACUCCUACGGGAGGCAGCAGUGGGGAAUCUUGCGCAAUGGGCGAAAGCCUGACGCAGCCAUGCCGCGUGAAUGAUGAAGGUCUUAGGAUUGUAAAAUUCUUUCACCGGGGACGAUAAUGACGGUACCCGGAGAAGAAGCCCCGGCUAACUUCGUGCCAGCCGCCGCAGUAAAAC
rnacentral:rRNA from 1 species